rnacentral:rRNA from 1 species
AUUGAACGCUGGCGGCAUGCUUUACACAUGCAAGUCGAACGGUAACAGGCCGCACUUUCCUGACGAGUGUCAACCGGGUGAGUAAUGCAUCGGAAUGUGCCCCGUCGUUGUGGAUAUCUACCCACUAGAGUAGCUCAUACCUCAUACGAUCUAUGGUUUUAAGCCGCGUGCUUCAAUACUUAACGACUUUUUUGCUGCCACUUCUAGAUUGGUCCGUGUCAGAUUAGGUAGUUGGUAAGGUAACGGCUUACCAAGUCAACGAUGCGUAGCCGACCUGAGAGGACAACCGGCCACACUGGGACUGAGACACGGUCCAGACUCCUACGGGAGGCAGCAGUAGGGAAUUUUGCGCAAUGGGCGAAAGCCUGACGCAGCAAUGCCGCGUGAAGGAAGAAGGCCUUCGGGUUGUAAACUGCUGUUGUAAGGGACGAAAAGACUUUGGAGAAUACACGCGGCUAAUGACGGUACCGAAUGAAAAAGCAACGGCUAACUACGUG